rnacentral:rRNA from 1 species
UACGUAGGUGGCAAGCGUUGUCCGGAUUUACUGGGCGUAAAGCGAACGCAGGCGGACUGUUAAGUAGGAAGUGAAAGGUUGGAGCUCAACUCCAAGAUGGCUUCCUAUACUGGCAGUCUUGAGUAGCGGAGAGGAAGGGGGAACGACACGUGUAGCGGUGAAAUGCGUUGAUAUGUGUCGGAACACCCAUGGCGAAAGCACCCUUCUGGACGCCAACUGACGCUCAGGUUCGAAAGCUAAGGUAGCGAACAGG